AUGGAGCAGAACUCGGACCCGGGUGCCGAAAUAUCGGAUCAAUCACGGGAAGCCGGGCCCAGCGGUGUGCAAAUCCAGAACGUUGAUCAGAAUGUACUUCAUCAGUAUCCGGGUCACAAUUGUCGAGGACCGCGUUGUGUAUGCCAAAGAUAUGAGAAUGGUGAAGUGGCAGCCGCGAUCAUGAAUCAAAAUCGGAAUAACAACCAGGAUGAUAAUUAUCAGAAUACAGGUCGCGGUUUGCGUAACUUCCAAAAUCGUUCCGGUGGUUCGGCACAAAUGCAUUCAAAUCAUAACCCGGGUUAUCAGAAUCCAAUGGAGUUAAUUCAUAACUAUAACCGUAAUCGACAACAACAAGAACCGGAAGAGAAUAUUUACGAGAGACUGGACAAUGACGACGACGAUGAAAAUGACGAGAAUAACAGGGAAGUUGUUCGCAAUGAACCUGCGGCUCAAAAUAAUCACGACAAUGUAGACGAUCAUACGUACGAGAGAAUAGAUGAUCGGUAUUCCUGCAGCGGUAGAACAUACGCUCGUUGUUAUAAAUACCAUGUUUUAAAUCCUUAUACCGUUCCCCCCAAUUUUUUAAAUGACAUUGAAUCUAGAAAUCAAUACGAUCAGUCCAGACAAUUGUAUCUAGAUUCAUCGCGACUUUCUAGCCAGUUUUGUCAGAAUCGAUUAGACAGGCUGGGACGAAAUUGUUUUUCUACCGAAAACAUUGCUUACGCAUCGACUGGACGUGCCAUUUAUCCACUUGGUUACAAUUUUAUGCGUUUAUUUUGUAAACACUUGGAUGCAAGAUAUUUGUGUCACCACUGUCAUAAUCUGCACAAUCGAUUACGGUAUCAGGAUGGACUGUCGAGUAAUUCUAGACAGUACAUCUAUCAAUUGCCAAGAAAGGUACCAUUUUGUCGCGGAGAAUAUUCAUACGUAAAGUUACCUGUUACAUCAUCCUGUCGUCCAGCGGAAUCAUUGAGAAUGGAGUGUCUUUGUAGAAUUCCAAAUUGCUCUUGUAGAUGUAAAGUUUUACCAAACUGUAACUCUACUGUACAAAUCAACAGGUAUCUUGAUUGCGUUGGAAGAGGUGGUCCAUCGGUGAAUAAUCCAAUGUAUGCCACAGUUCAUAUCGGUCGAUCUUGUGUUUCGACUCUUGGAAACACAGUCGCUGGAGGAAAUUCAUCCAUCGGUGCAGAUUCCGGUGCUUCGACCUCAAGUGCACCGGCACCAACAUCUACGGUCAACGAACCCAGUACAUCGUCAAAUGGCAGACAAAUUUUUUCACCAAAUAAUCCUUCCACCUCGCAAGUCUCUGCUUGUUCUUCGAAUCGUUUAAUGGAACGUCAACACACUUGUGACGAUUCCUGUAUUAGAAAUCAAAGUGGAAACGUUGCUGGUAUUUGUCAAUUUCUUGGUAGAUGCGACAAAGCCGAAUGUAAUCACAGUAGAUUAUCUGUACAUUGGUGGUUGGUGAACAGAUGGUUACCACCUUGGAACCCUAAUAAUUUUGAUAGAAACAUAGACAGUGUUCCAUCUGUGGAAGAAAGUGAUAGUGAUGAUACUUAAAUUUAAAGAAAAUUAAUUCUCUGUAAUAUUUUUUAUAUAUUUUAUCGAGAAAUGAAAUUGCUAUGUUUAUUUUCGUGUAAUUAUUCGGUAUUGAUUUAUCACAAGUAUUUAGAUACCAAUACAUAAUAUUCCUAAAUCCAGACUGCUGAAGUACCACAGGACUCGGUAUUCGAGUUCCUGUAUUUUCUAUCAGUACCCUAAUUUAUUUGAAAGUUUCCAAAAAUAUUUAUAGAAACCGUUUAUGCAUGUAUUGACAAUAAGAUCGCUUUGUAUAUUAAUCCGAUACUUUAGAAUACUCAUACUAAAAUACACUUCAAAUAUGGUGUUUAAAAGUAUGAAUGUGAAAAUAAUAAUCAAAAUUUCAGUUCAUCCAUUCAACUAUAGAUAAGCUAACGAUUUUUUAAUUUUUUUUAUAACAUUUUUUCAUUAUUUUAAUAUAUAGAUAUUUUAGAGAAAACUUAUAAAUCAUAUUGCGUUAAUCUCAUCGAUAGAAAAAAAAGUUGUGUGUUCUAUUCCAUACAUACGUAAGGAUAUAAGAGUCAAUUUCAUGUAUGUACCUUUUUCGGGCAUCGUUGUUGAGCCAAAGAGAGAGUGCUUUUAUCAUAUUUUUAUAAUUUUAGUAAUAAAGAUACCUCGACGGUAAAAAAAAACACAUGCAUUCUUUCGAAAACUAGUUGCAUAAAAAAAAAAGAUUAAAAAAUAUUGUUUGUAAAUUUAGAAAUCGUUUUAAAUUUAGUGCUUCGAAUUAACAUAAAAAAUAAAAAAGAAAUGUUAAGAUACACUUGUUUAACUUAACGAUCAUUGUAAAUAUAAACUUGUAGAAUUAUAUUAGUAUUUGUAAGCAAUAACUUUGAAGAAUUUAUGGUGUUUCUUCAUAAACAUGUAAUUUAUGUUUUGAAAAAACAGAGUCCAUAUGUACUGUAUCAUAUAGACUAUUGUAUAUUAGUCAGUAUUAAGUUGUCCUUGUAAAGAUAAUUUUUUUUUUGUCUUUUCGAAUAAAAUGCAUUGAAAAUUGAAUUUGAGAUUAAUUUAACUUGAAAUGCGCACAGUAAAUUGAAAUAAAAUAUUAAAUACGUGUAAGGACAACUAUAGACAUAUCCUUAGGUAUGUUGUUAUUUAAGAUUAAAAUUAAGAUUGUCCCUUUAGAAAGUAAAUUAGUUAGUAUACACGACCGGACAAAAUACAAUUUUGCGCCUAAUAAACUAGUAAUAAAUUUGAAGAGGACAUGUUUUGGAAUUAGUUUCUCAAACUAUAUAAUAUAAUAAUGAAUUUGCCAAAUGUAUAUUUAUUUUUUGUAUUUAGUAAUUAAUACUUAUACUGUCACGACUGUUUCAUUGAAUAAAAGACGUUAUCGUAGGAGAACAAUUGUGUAAAAAUUCGGGUAAUAACUUGUACGCAUUGUGACUAAAAUAUGUAAAUUAAUGGAAAUAGGUGUACUAUGUUGAUACGAAACCCUAACACAAUAUAUCCCGGAACGCUUUUGCAACAGUAAAUGUUUCUACGAUCAAUAUCCACAUAUGUAGUCAGUUUAAGAAAAGUUGAUCACUCCCCCAUGAGCGAAGGCUAACUGCUAUCACUUUGGUGUUACAAUGGUAUCCUAAUAUCAAAGCAUUGUUGCAGGGGCGGAUCCAGAAGUCUUUUGUUUAAAAGAAGAGGAACGAAACAAAAUAUAUUUUUAAUUUUUCUUUUUCUUUUUACACGAGUUGAAAUUAUUAUUCGGCAACGAGUGGAUCGUUGGUGGUCGUCCUUUCUUUGCAUAUAUACGACAAAUAUUUUUGCUUUGUCACACGGGUUCAACGUCGUAAAUGCUUGAACGACGAUAAACGCUAUUGUGUUCCUGACACUAUAGAGUACCAGUAUCUUGUUGCAGAGACUUGGUACCAUGAGUAUUAUUCAAGUAUCACGGGUGUGGUCUUCAUGGUCAAAUGUGCUCAACAAUUGUAUUUUAUUCGAAUGGCUUAACCCUUUCGAUACGGAGCAACAAUUUCGUUAAAUGAAUAAAUUCUCAAAUAAUUAUCUGAGAAUUUUUUUUAUUAAUCUUAUUUGUGGUCGUUUCAAGUGAUAAAUACUUUUUAUGUAUCUCGUGUAUGCACAUUAUAUUCAAGGAGCUCUUUAAAGCAACGUGAAAUUAAAGCAAAGAGAAAGGCUACGUUCACCUUUCCUUUGAUACCCAUUAUAUUUGCACUGUGGAUGGUAAUCGAAUUUUAUAUUCCGAUUUACAUAUAAUAUCCCAAAACAUGUUAUAUGCACCAAACAACGAUCAAAUAUCAUGAUUCAUGAUUCAUGAACGAGAUCGUUUGAUAUUUGUAGCAAAAAAGAAAGCACAACUAUUCUACGUCAGAAUUGUUAAUUGAUUAUGAUCGAUGCUUGAAGUAUGUGGGCGUUGGUCCUGUACUUGUCACCUUCAAAUUCCUAUCGGCCUCAAAUCAAUAAAAAGAAGAAGACAAAGUACGCGCCCAUGGAACCGGAAAUCCGGAAUUUAUGGUGUCGACUAUCAGUGAAUUAAACUCUCCCUUAGCAAAAAUGUUAUAAUGACGUAAAAUUUCACUAUACUUGAAGCAUCGAACAUCAUUGUUAUACAUUCAUUGAAAUAAAUCAGCUAAAGAUGACAAACGAUUCGAUACGGAUUGAAUAAUAAUUUUCUAGCUACUGUUGUAGUCGUGCAUAACCAUGAAUCAGUAAAUUGUCGUGCAAGUGCAAUGUAAGUGACUGAGAAAUUACGAAAUCUAGCCACAUAUGUCAUGUGUGUUCGAGUGCGUGUGCACCUUCCUUUUUUUCUUUUUGUUUUUUUUCUUUAUUCUGUUUUAAUGAGGCUGUGGUUCCGCUUACAUUUAUUAUGUUUUGUAGACCGGUUAAUUGUAGUGAGAUAGGAUAGUCUGUUGGGAAAUUCCAAGACUUAUAAUAUCGAUGAAUUGGUCAAGUUAUUGAUCACUUUAUACUUUUAAUUAAUCCUUGAUUCGAUCUGCUUCUGGAUCAAAAGUGUUAAUUUUCUUCGAACAUGCAAGGAGGUUGAAAAUUGAUCAGAUUGAAAAACGAUACAAUAUUCUCGAGUUUCUGGAAUUUUGCCUGUCUCUUGGUAUAUCCGCGUAAUACGCGUUGGAAAGUGGUCGCGAUAAUUCUCGGUCUUGUACAGAGGCUUCCUUCUUCCAAGGGUAAGGAAAGGUGGUUGCACGUGUCCCUCGAGUACUACGUUAUAUUGCAACCGUUUGUAACUCGCUCAUUGUUGAUUGCACAAGGAACCGAGCACGGUAUACCUAUCACGGGCCUUUGCACACCAGGCAUCUGAUCCCCUUCCAGUAAUUUUUAUCUUUUUCUUUUCUUCAGCAAAGUUAUCCCGUCGCGUGUACCGAUACGCUCGACAAUUCUUUAACUUGAUAUUCCGCGUUACGGCUGAUAUCAUUUUAUUCGACCAUUUUUAUACUUCAUCCAUCCCAUUAAUAACUGACAAUGAGAUUAAUAACAACGAAAAUACAAGAUAUCUUGUUAUCCGUCUGUAAUGUGUUAAGUGCAUCUAAAACAGCAUCAAGAACGUGCAUGCCGUAUGAAUCGACACACGCCAGUGAACCCGAAGAAAAGACUGACAAUGAAAGGGGGUCAGAUGUACGGCACACGCUCAACGUGGAAUAAUUUUGUGCUGUUUACUUCUUCAGCUUCCUAUUACGAGUUCAAUGAGCAAUAAUAUCCGUAAUAAUACGGUAGAAAACCACGGUAUGAUUGUCACUUCGGUAAAAUGAAUACAAAUAUGAGAUCAUACGUUGAUAAAAUUAAUUAAUCAUUAUAAGUUAAUAAGAUCAUUCGAAUCUUUAUCUAUAUUGGUAGUUAGGUAUAGAUAAAGUUAAUUUAAAAGAUCCUUAUCUCAUUCAAUUAAAUGCUUCUACCUAAUUUAUCAAAGGUAUCCAAUCUUAUGUGACAAAAAAUUAUUCUUCAAAUUCGUGUGACGUACGACUGGAUGAAUGUCCUAAUCGAUCGACAAUUAAUACAUGCUCGAAUAAUACUGGUCAUUUCCUCCGAGUUUUCUGUAACAGCAUGCCUAAGGCGGUCAAAGUCCUUGCCGAGUAGGUGGGGCAGGAAUUAGCCGGAAAUUCUUCGAUCAUCGAUUUCAAUCGAUAUUUAUUAUACCUAAUUUCCCCAUUUUUUGACUGAAAGUACAGUGACGUAUUUCUGGGGACGUGGACCCACCAAGUAAAAAUAUUAAAUACCAAGUGUAAUAAGAUCCUUAAGAUAUUAAAUACCGCAAUAAAAAUGAACGUUUGUAACGCGAUACUUUUCACUUUUCUCUUGUUACAUUUUUUUUUUAAAUAUUUCCUUCAAUUAUUAUGGUGACGAUAAUCGGUAAUCCCUACGCGUAAUAUUGAACACGAUAAAAUAUCAUAAAUUAACAUCCUUAAAGCAUCUAGCGUUUCAUGACAUAAUGUAUUGUUUAAUUCGUAAGAGAAAUUAGAUAACAGACGUAUUGAACGUUGAAAGAACGCGUGUGUUAUACCGUGACGAAGAAGGUGAACGUAGGUGGGCCUCCAGGAGAUUCCGAUACAGUUAUACACCGUUCCACGUGCAAAGAAAUGAAAGGUUCCGGAGCACGGUGCAUCUAAGGAUUCGAGAGGAGAAGGCACUUGGAAGAGGAUAAAAAUGUUUCUAAAAAGAGAGGAAAUACAAGGAUGAAAAAAGAUAGAUAGAAUCCGUGGCAGGCACGUGAUAGCACAGCAAUAAUUGCCCGUUGCGAUACAGUUCAACUUCGUUGUGUCUCUAUGCAUAUUUAUCUCUAUUGUAUGCACAAAAGAUCUGAACCAUCAGACUAAAUUGUUAGAUGUGGAUUUUAAUAGCCUCUGAGUGUUUAAAAAUAGAAAAGGAGUACAUUCACGAUGAAAUCAGACUUUCUUUCGGGAAAAUAGCGAUACAAGGGAAGCAAGAAUUCUCAAAAUAAGGGUGAAAGUAGAAGAAGAAAAAAAUGUUUAUCAUUUUGACUUAGGAAGAAUCUAGGAGAAACCUACUUUAUACUUUACACGAAAUGGUAUAAAAAUAAAUAAAAAGAUGCUCCAUUAAAUGAUCAUCGAAGAGAAGAAGAUGAAGCAAUGAUUGGAAUCGAACGUAUGGAACAGAGAUACAAAAGAGAGAGAUAUCAAAGAGCGAAAGUGAAAGAAGGAGAAGCAUGGCACGCUACUCUUCAUGAUCGACGAACACCUCUCUUUACCCCCAUUUUGUAUAGCCGGUUAAAAUGCUUCUCUUUCAGUUGUCGCUCGCCAACGUAGCGUUUCGUACGGUUCUCUGCUGCUCGUGUUUCUUUCGUACACGAGUAAGCACGUGUUCCUCCACGAAUUCUUAUUUAUUUUUCUUUUCUUUUUACGAUUGUCUCAUUAGUCCGACUCCAUUCGAAUCGAGUCAUUACGUUUUCUGCUCAUUUCCUCGUACGCUUUUGGUUCCAAUUUUUUUCCAUUCGAAAAUUGUCGGACUGCUGAAAAGUGAAAGCGACGGAGAAGAAAUUUUUGAUUCGAUACGUGUACAAACGUGCUUCCGCUAAAUCUGAUCCAGCCCUGCGGGAAUCUUGACACGUUGAAAACUCAGAUUUAUUCGAGGGAGAAGAAAAAAAAGAAAUAAAGAAUGAUUCAGGGAUACUUAACGCGUCGAUCAUGUUGAUUCAUUGUAGAAGACGGAAACGAAUUCCGGAUGUUUCAGUGAAAUUCAAACAAAUUUAAAACAUAGCGAGAGAUACUAUACUUUUCAGUACAAUUAAUCGAACUGCGAAAUUAGAGUUUCUCGAAUCAUUUCAUCCAGUGAUACUAUGAACGAUAAUCUGGAAGAUACUGAUUUUCUUAUUUAAUCAUGAUGUGUAUAGUGAUAAGAGGUGAUUUUCUGCACGAUCAAAAUCACAGUCGACCAAGUUGAAAAAUAGAACUUAAAGAGAAUUUUUAUUUACAACCGAGGAACGGGUUUGCGUUAAUAUUCUGAAAGAGCCAGCUUUAUUCUACG